UUCCUGGCCGUUUAGGUGGUCACUGC
rnacentral:piRNA from 1 species